rnacentral:rRNA from 1 species
ACCUAGAGUGACGUACGGGUGCGUAACACGUAUGCAACCUACCCAUAACAGGAGGAUANNNCCCCGAAAGGGGAAUUAACCCUCCAUAGUAAUAUUGAAUGGCAUCAUUUGAUAUUUAAAACUCCGGUGGUUAUGGAUGGGCAUGCGUCUGAUUAGUUAGUUGGCGGGGUAACGGCCCACCAAGACGAUGAUCAGUAGGGGAACUGAGAGGUUGAUCCCCCACACUGGCACUGAGAUACGGGCCAGACUCCUACGGGAGGCAGCAGUAGGGAAUAUUGGUCAAUGGAUGGAAGUCUGAGCCAGCCAUGCCGCGUGCAGGAAGAAGGCCUUAUGGGUUGUAAACUGCUUUUGCCAGGGGAUAAAAUAGCUGUGCGCAGCGAAUUGCAGGUACCUGGUGAAUAAGCCACGGCUAACUACGUGCCAGCAGCCGCGGUAAUACGUAGGUGGCAAGCGUUGUCCGGAUUUAUUGGGUUUAAAGGGUGCGUAGGCGGCCCUGUAAGUCAGUGGUGAAAUACUCCAGCUUAACUGGAGGGGUGCCAUUGAUACUGCAGGGCUUGAGUGGAGUAGAAGUAGGCGGAACUGACGGUGUAGCGGUGAAAUGCUUAGAUAUCGUCAAGAACACCGAUAGUGAAGACAGCUUACUAUGCUUCAACUGACGCUGAGGCACGAAAGUGUGGGGAUCAAACAGGAUUAGAUACCCUGGUAGUCCACACUGUAAACGUUGAUGACUCGCUGUUGGCGAUACACUGCCAGCGGCCAAGCGCAAGCGAUAAGUCAUCCACCUGGGG